rnacentral:rRNA from 1 species
CUAUCGUGGGCGUAUGAAAUUUGCGUGGCUCUGACACUAGUACGAGAGGACCGUGUUGGACUGACCUCUGGUUUACCAGUUGUGCCGCCAGGUGCAUUGCUGGGUAUCUAAGUCGGGAUUGGAUAAGUGCUGAAAGCAUCUAAGUACGAAGCCAGCCACAAGAUUAGAUUUCUUAGGGUCGUCAAAGACGAUGACGUUGAUAGGAUGCAGGUGUACAGGUGGUAACAUCAUAGCCGAGCAUUACUAAUUGCCCGUUCACUUUUGGUC